UAGAGUUUGAUCCUGGCUCAGAUUGAACGCUGGCGGCAGGCCUAACACAUGCAAGUCGAGCGGUAACAUUUCUAGCUUGCUAGAAGAUGACGAGCGGCGGACGGGUGAGUAAUGCUUGGGAACAUGCCUUGAGGUGGGGGACAACAGUUGGAAACGACUGCUAAUACCGCAUAAUGUCUACGGACCAAAGGGGGCUUCGGCUCUCGCCUUUAGAUUGGCCCAAGUGGGAUUAGCUAGUUGGUGAGGUAAUGGCUCACCAAGGCGACGAUCCCUAGCUGGUUUGAGAGGAUGAUCAGCCACACUGGGACUGAGACACGGCCCAGACUCCUACGGGAGGCAGCAGUGGGGAAUAUUGCACAAUGGGCGCAAGCCUGAUGCAGCCAUGCCGCGUGUGUGAAGAAGGCCUUCGGGUUGUAAAGCACUUUCAGUCAGGAGGAAAGGUUAGUAGUUAAUACCUGCUAGCUGUGACGUUACUGACAGAAGAAGCACCGGCUAACUCCGUGCCAGCAGCCGCGGU
rnacentral:rRNA from 1 species